CUUGGACCAGGGACCACCUCAGAUCAUCCUCUCAGGAAUUUCGAUGGGAGCUCUUCUGAUGGGUGGGGUGUGAAUGCGCCGAGUGCUACAAAGACAGAGAUGCUUUUGCCUCAGCCACCACCUCCAGGCCCAAUCAGCAAUGAGUGAGCACCCUACAGCGAGAGGCAGCAUCUGGAGCGAGUCUCAGAAACCCAAGUCUGAAGGAAAGAAGACAGACACUGCAGAAUUCCAGUGAUACAAGCUCGAGAGUCAGCAGGGGUUCUCUUCCAGGACACAGUGACUCGAACAGGACCCAUGGGUGCUCCUGCUUCUUGAUCUCAGAGCAUGAAAUAGCGUCCCUCAGACAACAGACAGACCUAUGAAGAGGUUCACUAUACUCUGGUCACAGGGCUCUGCCAGUUUACAUCAAUCUCUCCUCGU